rnacentral:rRNA from 1 species
AGCGGAGGAAAAGAAACCAACCGGGAUUGCCUUAGUAACGGCGAGUGAUUUUUGAAAUCCUGGUACCUUCCGGUGCCCGAGUUGUAAUUUUGGAGAGGGCAACUUUUGGGGCCGUUCCUUGUCUAUGUUCCUUGGAACAGGACGUCAUAGAGGGUGAGAAUCCCGUGUGGCGAGGAGUGCGGUUCUUUGUAAAGUGCCUUCGAAGAGUCGAGUUGUUUGGGAAUGCAGCUCUAAGUGGGUGGUAAAUUCCAUCUAAAGCUAAAUAUUGGCGAGAGACCGAUAGCGAACAAGUACAGUGAUGGAAAGAUGAAAAGAACUUUGAAAAGAGAGUGAAAAAGUACGUGAAAUUGUUGAAAGGGAAGGGCAUUUGAUCAGACAUGGUGUUUUGUGCCCUCUGCUCCUUGUGGGUAGGGGAAUCUCGCAUUUCACUGGGCCAGCAUCAGUUUUGGUGGCAGGAUAAAUCCAUAGGAAUGUAGCUUGCCUCGGUAAGUAUUAUAGCCUGUGGGAAUACUGCCAGCUGGGACUGAGGACUGCGACGUAAGUCAAGGAUGCUGGCAUAAUGGUUAUAUGCCGCCCGUCUUAAGAACCCGGAGAAAAAAAAAAAA